ACCGCUUGUUAUUUUUUUCGAAUUUUACUUAAAUUUAAUUUAUUAUAAUUUAAAAUAUAUAAAAUUUAUUUAUUAAAUAUAUAGGUCUCACAUAUUUGUGUCUUGAGUUCCCGUUAAAAACAUAUGUGUGCCUUAGUUGUCCCAUUCCAUUAAAUGCAAGCAAACAUGUCUAGACACAAUGGUCAGGUUUUUCAAGCUUGAAUUUGUUGGGUAUGGAUGCCAUAGGCCAACAUAAUCACCUGGUAUGAUGUUUUAAGUGAGAAAAACAUAAUUAUGUGCCCACUGGCUUGCCAUUUUCCAUUGGUCCCUAUCUUCUAUAGUUCAGAAAUGGUAUAUAUAACAGCUCACCUUGUUAUUGUUGAUUUGAUGGCUAAUUUUUCUGAUUUUUGCCAUGCAUAUGUGUUGGCUUGUUGCAAUCAUAUCACAGAAGUUCCUUUCUAGUAUUGGUGUGCAAAUGAUCGGUUCGAUUCUAAACCAAACCGAACCGAUAGAAUUGAAAACCGAAAGUAAAAAAUUUUAAAAAUCGAAUCA
rnacentral:misc_RNA from 1 species